CCUACGGGUGGCAGCAGUGAGGAAUAUUGGUCAAUGGGCGCUAGCCUGAACCAGCCAAGUAGCGUGAAGGAUGACUGCCCUAUGGGUUGUACACUUCUUUUAUAUGGGAAUAAAGUGCAGUAUGUAUACUGCUUUGCAUGUACCUUAUGAAUAAGGAUCGGCUAACUCCGUGCCAGCAGCCGCGGUAAUACGGAGGAUGCGAGCGUUAUCCGGAUUUAUUGGGUUUAAAGGGUGCGUAGAUGGGUUGUUAAGUCAGUUGUGAAAGUUUGCGGCUCAACCGUAAAAUUGCAAUUGAUACUGGCAGCCUUGAGUACAGUUGAGGUAGGCGGAAUUCGUGGUGUAGCGGUGAAAUGCUUAGAUAUCACGAAGAACUCCGAUUGCGAAGGCAGCUUACUAAACUGCCACUGACAUUGAUGCUCGAAAGUGUGGGUAUCAAACAGGAUUAGAUACCCUAGUAGUC
rnacentral:rRNA from 1 species